AUUGAACGCUGGCGGCAGGCCUAACACAUGCAAGUCGAGCGAGCGGCGGACGGGUGAGUAAUGUAUGGGGAUCUGUCUGAUGGAGGGGGAUAACUACUGGAAACGGUAGCUAAUACCGCAUACCAUCAGAUGAACCCAUAUGGGAUUAGCUUGUAGGUGAGGUAACGGCUCACCUAGGCGACGAUCCCUAGCUGGUCUGAGAGGAUGAUCGGGCACACUGGGACUGAGACAGGGCCCAGACAACUACGUGAGGCAGCAGUGGGGAAUAUUGCACAAUGGGCGGAAGCCUGAUAGAGCCAUGCCGCGUGUAUGAAGAAGGCCUUAGGGUUGUAAAGUAAUUUCAGCGGGGAGGCGUUACCCGCAGAAGAAGCACCGGCUAACUCCGUGCCAGCAGCCGCGGUAAUAC
rnacentral:rRNA from 1 species